rnacentral:rRNA from 1 species
GAUGAACGCUAGCGGGAGGCCUAACACAUGCAAGCCGAGCGGUAUUUAUUCUUCGGAAUAGAGAGAGCGGCGUACGGGUGCGGAACACGUGUGCAACCUGCCUUUAUCAGGGGGAUAGCCUUUCGAAAGGAAGAUUAGUACCCCAUAAUAUAUUGAUUGGCAUCAAUUGAUAUUGAAAACUCCGGUGGAUAAAGAUGGGCACGCGCAAGAUUAGAUAGUUGGUGAGGUAACGGCUCACCAAGUCGAUGAUCUUUAGGGGGCCUGAGCGGGUGAUCCCCCACACUGGUACUGAGACACGGACCAGACUCCUACGGGAGGCAGCAGUGAGGAAUAUUGGACAAUGGGUGAGAGCCUGAUCCAGCCAUCCCGCGUGAAGGACGACGGUUCUAUGGAUUGUAAACUUCUUUUAUAUAGGGAUAAACCUACUUACGUGUAAGUAGCUGAAGGUACUAUAUGAAUAAGCACCGGCUAACUCCGUGCCAGCCGCCGCGGUAA